UACGAAGGGGGCUAGCGUUGCUCGGAAUCACUGGGCGUAAAGGGCGCGUAGGCGGCCAUUCAAGUCGGGGGUGAAAGCCUGUGGCUCAACCACAGAAUUGCCUUCGAUACUGUUUGGCUUGAGUUUGGUAGAGGUUGGUGGAACUGCGAGUGUAGAGGUGAAAUUCGUAGAUAUUCGGAAGAACACCAGUGGCGAAGGCGGCUCAC
rnacentral:rRNA from 1 species